GAAGUGUUCUUUCACUGUAUGUGGAGGAUGGAGAACCCGUUUGAAAUACAAACUGGCAAACUACCGCACUCGCCCUGAGAAGACUGGGAUGUCCAGAGGUGACGAUAAACUCCUUGAAGCACAAACCUGCAGGGAAGUCAAGUGCAGCCUAUGGUGUUAAAAAGCCGAAGAGAGCAGAAGUGAACUUUUGCCCCGCAUAGAAACAGAAGAGAGCCUCGGGGACAUGCGGAAAGCUCUACUGUCCGAUGUGAAGAAAAGAAACAGAGACACAGUGAAGUUCAAAGUUAAGAAGAUGUUUGCGUACAGGAGACAUGAAGUUGUCCGUGACGCGCCCAUGGUAGAGGACUUUGUGGCCAGACGGCCUGUGCUCUUUGAAGUCAUUGAGGUCAAUGCCGAGUUUAAGAGAAUCACCACAACCCCACUCCAGUCCAAAUGUAUUUCUCAACUUGAUAUACACUCAGAUAACCUGCUGAAGUUGUUCCAGAGAAGGAGGAGGACAGCUGGGCAGAAGACUCAUGUCACAAUCCUUCUCUUUUCUUAGAAUAGCAACAUAGAUGUCAGACGAGAGUGCAUCCUAAAGGGAGUGUGUGUAUAUGGGUGAAGACCCAGAAAAGCUUGUUCAGGAAUGUGGGCAUGGAUGAAGAGUCCACCAAGGCAGCCAUUGAGGACACUACUGUGGGGAUCUACAUUAUCAAAGACCAUGUGAGUGAGGAACCAGAGGACACUGGGAUUAUCCUUGAAGUCGUCAAAGUGCUGCAGGAUCUGGGCAACGUAGAAUUUGCAGUUGCAAUGCUGUUCGGCCUCAUCUAUGCCAUAAACCUCAGUUACUGAGCUCAGCUACAAGUCUUUCAGAAGGUUUUUAUGGAACUGAAUGGGGAAAACUUAACAAAGCUGUUGCAUUUCAAAACAGGCUGUUUCAGUGAGCUGUUUUGUUGUGUGUUUCAGACUGUAGGUUGUGUUUCACACUGUAUGUCUGACUUAGGUUGAACUUGUUAGAUUGUUCACAAACUCAAAACAGAAGCUCCAUCUUUGGACAUGCUGAUAUCGUGAUUUUGUUAGACAUUUUGUAUGGUGUGUUGAGUAGAUGCCCUUAAUUUUCUUUGCUGCUUCUGUAAAAAGUUCAGUUUCACUUUGUAGUGACUUUUAGUCAAUAGAAUUAACAUGCACCAAUAUGUACACAUACCUACCUCAUUCUUUGUCUGUUACUCCUUAUGAAAAAGAACUACCUCAUUUUGUAACAAAAUGCAUUAGAGAGUGUGACCAAUCACUGUUAGGACAAGUAUUUUUCAUACAUAUAUAUAGCCUACAUUACUGUGAUUUAGACCUGUGCAAUUCAUUGAACGCUGAAUGUCAGUGAAUGGACAUUUGUCAUUCCAAAGAGCUGAACCGUUACAAAAAAAAUACAGUCAUUUUUUAAACACAUGCCUUUUGCCUUCUUUGUCACUGAUACAAAUGGUCUCUUGCUCCGUUGUUACACAUCUUUAGCAUAUGCUUUU